UAUUUUAAUAGCUUAUUAAAAAAAGUAUAAUAUUGAAGAUAUUAAGAAGGCUUAUGCCUUAAAAUAUU
rnacentral:tRNA from 1 species